GAUGAAGAACGUAGCGAAAUGCGAUAAGUAAUGUGAAUUGCAGAAUUCAGUGAAUCAUCGAAUCUUUGAACGCACAUUGCGCCCCCUGGUAUUCCGGGGGGCAUGCCUGUCCGAGCGUCAUUACAACCCUCAAGCUCAGCUUGGUGUUGGGCCCCGCCGCCCCGGCGGGCCCUAAAGUCAGUGGCGGUGCCGUCCGGCUCCGAGCGUAGUAAUUCUUCUCGCUCUGGAGGUCCGGUCGUGUGCUCGCCAGCAACCCCCAAUUUUUUUCAGGUUGACCUCGGAUCAGGUAGGGAUACCCGCUAAACUUAAGCAUAUCAAUAAGCGGAGGA
rnacentral:misc_RNA from 1 species